CGAUCCCGCGCGCCGCUCAGGCUCGAGUUCACCCCGCCCAAACCCCCGCAAAGGUCCUCUCGCUGCCCCUGCUUGCUUCGUCGCCUUCGAAGGCGUUCGCUGCUCUCUCGCGCUUGCUUUCUGCGUCGUCGCCCGCCGUUGAGCCGUUCGGCGACGCCGAACGCAGGUUCUCCUCUGGUUACGUUCAAUCGAUCUCCCAUGCUCACCUGUUCUCUACUGCAAGUACUGGAGGUUCGUCCGCAUUCGUCUUCGUCUUCGUCGCUGCUUCGAACAGGCUAGAGACCGUAGGCUUCAAAUUGCCAAACGUUACACAUAACGUUUUUAGCUAAA